AUGCCCAUUGAUGAAGAGGGUAAUCUAGAGCUGUCAAGGCAAGUUGUUUCUGUAAAAUCAAUGGGAAGGCUUACCAUUUUUAUAAAGGCCUUGUCAGCAUGUGGAGAAAUCAGUGGAAGUGUUACCUUCAUACCCAAAUCCAGCAACGUGAGUCAAGAAAGCUGUUCCAUUGGUGGAUGUGAAGUGGAGAUAACUGUUGCUUGGUCCCUUCUUGUUGAAAGCCAGCAUGUUAUAGAGCUGAAGGGAUCUGCAGACCCUUACGAACAUGAAUUAAAUCCAUGUACUCCUCGGAUGAAACUCGAGGAAGACGCUUUUUGA
rnacentral:rRNA from 1 species